rnacentral:SRP_RNA from 1 species
CCCCAGGUCCGUAGGGCCGGGAACUACAAACUCCGUCAGGACCGGAAGGUAGCAGCGGUACGUAGGAUCCCGAGCCGCUACGCCCACCUGGGGGGU